rnacentral:rRNA from 1 species
AACGAACGCUGGCGGCGUGCCUAACACAUGCAAGUCGUGCGAGAAAGUUCCUUCGGGAGCGAGUAAAGCGGCGCACGGGUGAGUAACACGUAGGUAACCUGCCCCCCAGUCUGGAACAACUAGAGGAAACUCUAGCUAAUGCCGGAUGAGACCACGAUCCCUUCGGGGGUUGCGGCCCAAAGAUGGCCUCUACUUGUAAGCUAUCGCUGAGGGAUGGGCCUGCGAGCCAUUAGCUUGUGGUGAGGUAACGGCUCACCAAGGCUGUGAUGGCUAGCUGGUCUGAGAGGAUGACCAG